rnacentral:rRNA from 1 species
UGUUAUACUUAGACGUGAACAACCUUAAGCACCAGAGAACUACGAACCUAAAGUUUAAAACUCAAAGGACUUGGCGGUUUUCCAAACCUCCCUGGAGGAGCUUGCCAUUGAAUCGAUAAUCCACGAAACACCUCACCAACUUUUGUAACAACAGCUUGUAUACCAUCGUCGUAAGUCUACUUCUUGAGAAAGUUGACUUUAAGGAAGAACCCCAGACGUCAGAUCAAGGUGCAGCUUAUAGGUUGGGAAUAGGUGAGCUACAAUGUUUGAAUAAACCAGUGAAAAAAGGGGUGAAAUGCCCUUUAGAAAUUGGAUUCAGCAGUAAGUUCCACAUAGACAAUGGAACUGAAAAGAGCUCUGGAAUGCGUACACAUCGCCCGUCACUCUCGCCUAGUCAAAAUUAGACAAGGGGAGAAAAGUCGUAACACAAUAGGCACACCGGAAGGUAUGCCUGGAAAAU